CAUGUAUCAUCAUCUCUGCCCCAGGGCUCAGCUCUGUCUGGAUCCUCUGGGUGUGGGCCAGAAGCUAGGGGAAGGAAGAGAGCACAAUGCACUGUACUGUCAGUCCUGGUGGUCUUGUUUGAGGGAGCUGUGGAGUCUGCCAAGGCCCAGAAGCUGCACUGGACAGGGAAGGAGAUCUGCUGGUCAGCAUCCUCUCCAUACUUCUUCCCUGGGAUGAUCACAGACACUGUCCGACUCUCCAGAGCUGGUUGCGAAGGAGAGUGGUCAAAGGAGAUGCCAUAAUGUUUCUUCGUUGUUGCAUUGCUUUGACAAGACAACACAUUAGCUACAGCUGUAUCAGACUGGCUCCAGGCUAC